GUUGUUGUGUAUGUAGUUAAGGU
rnacentral:siRNA from 1 species